rnacentral:rRNA from 1 species
GACGAAUGCUGGCGGCGUGCUUAACACAUGCAAGUCGAACGGAAAGGCCCUGCUUGCCGGGUACUCGAGUGGCGAACGGGUGAGUAACACGUGGGUGAUCUGCCCUGCACUUCGGGAUAAGCCUGGGAAACUGGGUCUAAUACCGGAUAGGAGCCAUUUUUAGUGUGAUGGUUGGAAAGUUUUUUCGGUGUAGGAUGAGCUCGCGGCCUAUCAGCUUGUUGGUGGGGUAAUGGCCUACCAAGGCGGCGACGGGUAGCCGGCCUGAGAGGGUGGACGGCCACAUUGGGACUGAGAUACGGCCCAGACUCCUACGGGAGGCAGCAGUGGGGAAUAUUGCACAAUGGGCGCAAGCCUGAUGCAGCGACGCCGCGUGGGGGAUGACGGCCUUCGGGUUGUAAACUCCUUUCGCUAGGGACGAAGCUUUUGUGACGGUACCUAGAUAAGAAGCACCGGCUAACUACGUG